rnacentral:tRNA from 1 species
GGGAUUGUGGCUCAGUGGCAGAGCAUUUGCCUUGCAUGUACGAAGCACUGGGUUCAAUCCUCAGCAUCACA